rnacentral:rRNA from 1 species
ACUCGAGUGGCGAACGGGUGAGUAACACGUGGGUGAUCUGCCCUUCACUUCGGGAUAAGCCUGGGAAACUGGGUCUAAUACUGGAUAGGACCAUCGUUUAGUGUCGGUGGUGGAAAGUUUUUCGGUGGAGGAUGAGCUCGCGGCCUAUCAGCUUGUUGGUGGGGUAAUGGCCUACCAAGGCGUCGACGGGUAGCCGGCCUGAGAGGGUGUACGGCCACAUUGGGACUGAGAUACGGCCCAG